UACGUAGGCAGCGAGCGUUGUUCGGAAUUACUGGGCGUAAAGAGUGUGUAGGCGGUGCUCUAAGUUCGGUGUGAAAUCUCCCGGCUUAACUGGGAGGGUGCGCCGGAAACUGGAGUGCUCGAGCGUGGGAGAGGAAAGCGGAAUUCCUGGUGUAGCGGUGAAAUGCGUAGAUAUCAGGAAGAACACCCGUGGCUAAGGCGGCUCUCUAGUACGGUACUGACGCUGAGACGCGAAAGCGUGGGGAGCGAACAGG
rnacentral:rRNA from 1 species